AAAGAAUAAAUGUUGUAGGGAGCAAAUAGUGUAAAUAGAACGAGGAGAAUACCACAUCCCCCAAAGAAUAAAGAAAGAUGAAGAAAACAAAACAAAGUCAUAAAACAAGGCUUUUCAAUCCCCGAUGAAUAUCAGCAGUACUCUAAAUACCCCAGCAAAUAGAACAUGAAGAGGCCACAAACAAUAACCCAUCCCAAAGAGAUUGUCUAGGAU
rnacentral:lncRNA from 1 species